GACCGUGUGGCCUAACGGAUAAGGCAUCGGACAUCGGAUCCGAAGAUUGCAGGUUCGAGUUCUGCCACGGUCG
rnacentral:tRNA from 1 species